AAAUGUCAUUCUCAGAUAAGGAUUUGUUUAUCCUGUUGCAAAUGAUGGUUCAUCUUUUCUUUCUUUUCAUUUCAAAUUUAUUUAAUGGAUCUUAAUUUUAAACACUGCUUUUAAAGAAAUUAUAAGUUUCUCAAGCAUGUUCCAUUUUCUAAUUUUGGAACUUGCCUCUAAUUAUAUUCAAAACUUGAUGAUAGUACUGUCCUUCUCCCAAAUGUCCUUUUUAAAUAUAUCUUGUUUUCCCCAAAUAUAAAAUACAUGUUUACUGAAAAACAUUUAGAAUACAGAAAAAUAAAAAGUAAACAGUGUAGUUUCCUCAUUUCACUUUUACGUAAGUGGAGGUUUCCAUGUCUGGAUCAAAUUCCAUCAGAAGAAAUGGAAGCCUUACUUAUUUCUUUAAUUAUCAUACAACUGAUAACAACUGGAAGAAUUUUUAGUGUAACACUUUUAGAAUCCUACACUAGGUAAAUCUUCACAAGACAAAAGGAAAAGAAGAAACUUAUUUUGCAGCUUUGUGGUCUGGCCUACUCUGAACUUGCAUAGAAUUCUUCAAAGCUUUUAAUUCCUUUUAGAAAAUGUCACUGAAACAAUAAAGGACUUAGCAAUUUAUAAAACCACUGUCACCGAUUCCACCUGGAGUGGAUGCCAUGGUGCGGGUGCAGAUCCCCUUCAGGACCAAGGCAUGCGAUCCUCCAGCUUCUGGGGAGGGCUAGCUAUUGACAACUCACCUCUGAGUUCCCUCCUGGACUUGCCCUCUGUCGAAAGGCAUUGUCUUGCUUAAGGCUAUGCCCCUCCCUGGAGGAGCCAGUAUGCAAGGACUGGCUCUUGCCUCAGGCUAGCAAGACUCUGAAGGGCCACCCAGCUCCAGAAGUCCCUGUGGGACUAACUGAACCUUUCUUCUUCUGCCCAAUCCUGCUGCAUUUGCCUCCUCACAAGUGCUGUUCCUAAGGGCAUUUUCUAAUCUCCUACAUGAAAUCUGCAAGUCUGUUUCCCAGGGAAACAGGUUUUCCCCAAAACAAAUCUUUCCCAACCUAAGAAAGGUUCUCAUUUAAUUAACUCAUUAUAUAUCACAGUGUUUCUGUAAUACAGUAACAAAGCAUUAGAUUAAAAAUACAGAUGUCCCUGUUUUAAGCCCAACUCUCAAAUGUUGAGUUUGCUUUUGUUUUGUCAGCAUGAAGUAUAAGAAAGAACCUAAGAGCUUUAGGGCCUGAAAGUAUAAGUUCAAAUCAAUUUAUAGCAUUGUGACCCUGAGCAGGCUACUUAACCUCUCUGAGCUCCAGUUUCCCCAUCUGUAAAGUGGGAUGAUAACAGCAAAUGAACAGUGUGACUAUGAGGACCGUAUGAGAUGCUGCAUACCUGGAGUUUUCAACAACUGACCCCUGCUUCAACCCAUUAUGUCAGAAGUGGAAGUAGAAAUCCAAACAGAGUCCCUGUCCUUGAAGAGAUCAUUGUAUUACUGAGGCUAGUAGGUGGCUUAUUCAGAAAUGUACAGGUAGGAUCAUGGACCAUGUGACAAGUGCUGAAACAGCCAAACCAACAAAAUGCUUCAAAAGCUGGAGGAAGGAGGAUCUAACCCAGACUGUAAACAUCUGACUAGGGAGGUAAUACUUGAGCUGAAUAAUGAAUAGGACAAAUUCAUCAAGAGGGGGAGAACAAAAGAGCAUCUAUGCAAAACAAAGAACAUUUUUAAAGGUAGGAAGCAUUAAAUGUUAUCAUGCAUCAGGAAUAUGAACUUGUACAGUUUGUUUUAUUAUGUUUUAAAGUAGUUUUUUUUAAAUUUAGUUUUUAUGUUUAUAGAGACAGAAUCUCACUGUUGCCCAGACUUGUCCCAAACUCCUAGCCUUGCGAGCCUCCCGCCUCAGCCUCCCAAAGUCCUGGGAUUACAAGCAUUAGCUACUGCGCCCAGCCUAAAAUUAGAGUUUAGCUGACGUGUGUAUGGUGGUGGUUUAAGGCAGGAAGUUGAAUGGUUUUGGGGGUAUACAAAAGAGUCUGGGUUUCAUUUUCUAAGGGACAGGGGACCACUGAAGAUUUUAAGCUGGGAGGCAUCAUGACUAGAUCUGGGUGUUAGAUAAAGACUUCUGGUUUAAGGUGGCUCCUUGAAACUUUCUAACAGAACUUUAACACUUAAAAACAAAUUAAAUUUUAAAAAGGAAACAUUCACCCGAAAUCUACAAACGUGGAAUAUCAUGAUAUAAAAUUUAAAAUCUGGUGAUUAAGAAACAGAAGAUUAUGGAUAGAACUAAGCACAGGAAGGCUCAGAGUCUAAUCUCCUUCCCCAACUAAACUGGUAAAAUGACAUUUUUGAGAAUUCUGUUAUUCCUAAAUCUGAAGAAAACAACAGAAGAGGUAUCUUUACCUUUUUCUUCUUCUGAACAGAAAUGAGAAAAAACUGCCAGGGACCAAACAGGUGACCAGGACUGACUGACAUAAGGAAAGGUUCCAGGAUGUUAGAGGAUGCAUUGUGACUAAUUCCCAGUACCUGUGAAUGCAGCCUUAUCUGGAAACACAGUCGAGGACAACUUAUGAUGGGGUUAUGUCACAAUAAACCCGUUGUUAGUUGAAAAUGCAUUUAAAUAGAGACACAUCAAUUGGAAUGAUGACGGAUUUCUCAUCUAAAACCAGAGGCCAGAGGGAAGUGGCACAAUAUUUUUCAAGUACUGAAAGAAAAAAUUAUCAACUACAAAUUCUAUAUCCUGAAACAAUUCUCAAGGAAUAAAGGAGAAAUAAAAUAUUCUGAGAUGAGAGAAAACUAAGAAUUUUCUCUAACUCAAAGAUUGCCUAAAAGAAAUUGUUUAAACAGAAAAGAGAAGAUUAAAGGAGGACUCUCAGAGCAUCAGGACUGAGGACAAUAGAGAUUGAAAGAGUGGAUAAAAAUUUAUAACCCGACUAUUUGUUCCUUAUAGGAAACUCACUUUAAAUUCGACAAAGGUAGAUUAAAAACAAAAGGAUCGAAACAGAUAUACUCUGCAAACAUUAAUCAAUUUGACUUAAUUGGCUUUCCUUCACGUGGCAAUAAAUGUGACUUUCAAUCUCAAAAAAAAAAAAAGAAAAUGCAUUUAAUACAUUUAACCUACUGAGCAUAGAGGUUAGCCUAGCCUAUCUUAAAUGUGUUCAGAACACUUAUAUUAGCCUACAGUUGAGCAAAAUCAUCUAACACAAGGCCUGUUUUUUAAAAAAAAAAAGUGUUGAAUAUCUCAUGUAAUUUAUUGCAUACUGUACUGGAAGUGAAAAAGAAUAGUUGUAAGGUACUCAUGUUUUGUUUUCAGACCAUUAUAAAGUUGAAAAAUCCUAAGACACGCUGGGCACAGUGGCUCAAGCCUAUAAUCCCAGCACUCUGUGAUGCUGAGGCAAGCAGAAUGCCUGAGCUCAGGAGUUCAAGACCACCCUGGGCAACAUGGUGAAACCCCAGCUCUACUAAAAUACAAAAAAUUAGCCGUGUGUGGUGGCACGUGCCUGUCGUCCCAGCUACUCGGGAGGCUAAGGCACAAUAAUUGCUUGAGCUGGGGAGGCGGAGGCUGCGGUGAGCUGAGAUCGCACCACGGCACUCCAGCCUGGGCAACAGAGUGAGACCCUAAAAAAAAAAAAAAAAAAAGAUGAGGUUGUAUGUGUAGGGUCCAGCCCUACGCGGCUUAGCGGGUGUUCUCCCCGUGUGCGGAGACAAGAGAUUGUAAGAAAUAAAGACACAAGACAAAGAGAUAAAGAGAAAACAGCUGGGCCCAGGGGACCACUACCAUCAAGACACGGGAGACCGGUAGCGGCCCGAACGGCUGGGCUCGCUGAUAUUUAUUGCAUACAAGACAAGGGGGCAGGGUAAGGAGUGUGAAUCUUCUAAGUGAUUGAAAAGGUGAAGCAAUUUAUGUGAUUACAGGAUAGGGGGCCCUUUCCUUUUAGGUAGCCGAAACAGAGAGGGAAGGCAGCAUACGUCAGCGUUUUCUUCUCUGCACUUAUAAGAAAGAUCAAAGACUUCAAGACUUUCACUAUUCCUUCUACCGCUAUCUACUACGAACUUCAAAGAGGAACCAAGAGUACGGGAGAAGCAUAAAAGUGGACAAGGAGUGUGACCACUGAAGCACAGCACCACAGGGAGGGGAUUUAGGCCUCCGGAUGACUGCGGGCAGGCCCGCAUAAUAUCCAGGCUUCCACAAGAAGCUGGUGGAGCAGAGUGUUCCCUGACUCCUCCAAGGAAACGAGACUCCCUUUUGCGGUCUGCUAAGUAACGGGUGCCUUCCCAGACACUGCCGUUACCGCUUGACCAAGGAGCCCUCAAGUGGCCCUUAUGCGGGCGUGACAGAAGGCUCACCUCUUGCCUUCUAGGUCACUUCUCACAAUGUCCCUUCAGCACCUCACCCUAUACCCGCCAGUUAUUCCUAGGUUAUAUUAGUAAUGCAGCAAAGAAUAAUACUAAAAGCUAAUGAUUAAGGUUUAUAAUGAUUGCUAAUUGUCCAUGAUCAUCUCUAUAUCUAAUUUGUAUUAUGACUAUCCUUAAUCUAACUAUUUUCUUUACUAUACUGAAAUAGUUUGUGCCUUCAGUCUCUUGCCUCGGCACCUGGGUAAUCCUCCACCCACACAUAUGGGCAGGCUCUAAUAUAAUGACUGGUGUCCUAAU
rnacentral:lncRNA from 1 species